CCUACGGGAGGCAGCAGUCGAGAAUCAUUCACAAUGGGGGAAACCCUGAUGGUGCGACGCCGCGUGGGGGAAUGAAGGUCUUCGGAUUGUAAACCCCUGUCAUGUGGGAGCAAAUUAAAAAGAUAGUACCACAAGAGGAAGAGACGGCUAACUCUGUGCCAGCAGCCGCGGUAAUACAGAGGUCUCAAGCGUUGUUCGGAAUCACUGGGCGUAAAGCGUGCGUAGGCUGUUUCGUAAGUCGUGUGUGAAAGGCGCGGGCUCAACCCGCGGACGGCACAUGAUACUGCGAGACUAGAGUAAUGGAGGGGGAACCGGAAUUCUCGGGGUAGCAGUGAAAUGCGGAGAUAUCGAGAGGAACACUCGUGGCGAAGGCGGGUUCCUGGACAUUAACUGACGCUGAGGCACGAAGGCCAGGGGAGCGAAAGGGAUUAGAUACCCCAGUAGUC
rnacentral:rRNA from 1 species